rnacentral:rRNA from 1 species
UACGUAGGCAGCAAGCGUUGUUCGGAGUUACUGGGCGUAAAGGGUGUGUAGGCGGUCUUCUAAGUUUGGUGUGAAAUCUCCCGGCUCAACUGGGAGGGUGCGCCGAAAACUGGGAGGCUAGAGUGCGGGAUGGGAGAGUGGAAUUCCUGGUGUAGCGGUGAAAUGCGUAGAUAUCAGGAAGAACACCUAUGGCGAAGGCAGCACUCUGGGACGGUACUGACGCUGAGACGCGAAAGCGUGGGGAGCGAACAGG